rnacentral:misc_RNA from 1 species
GUAAUGCGAUAAGUAAUGUGAAUUGCAGAAUUCAGUGAAUCAUCGAAUCUUUGAACGCACCUUGCGCUCCUUGGUAUUCCUUGGAGCAUGCCUGUUUGAGUAUCAUGAAAUCUUCAAAGUAAAUCUUUUGUUAACUCAAUUGGUUUCUACUUUGGUAUUGGAGGUCUUUGCAGCUUCACACCUGCUCCUCUUUGUUCAUUAGCUGGAUCUCAGUGUUAUGCUUGGUUCCACUCGGCGUGAUAAGUUAUCUAUCGCUGAGGACACUGUAAAAGGUGGCCAAGGUAAAUGCAGAUGAACCGCUUCUAAUAGUCCAUUGACUUGGACAAUACUUUUAUGAUCUGAUCUCAAAUCAGGUAGGACUACCCGCUGAACUUAAGA